UGGGGAAUAUUAGGCAAUGGGCGAAAGCCUGACCUAGCAACGCCGCGUGAGGGAAGAAGGUCUUCGGAUUGUAAACCUCUGUCCUUGGUGAAGAACACAAUGACAUUAGCCAAGGGAGAAAGCUCCGGCUAACUACGUGCCAACAGCCGCGGUAAUACGUAGGUGGCGAGCGUUAUCCGGAUUUACUGGGUGUAAAGGGCGUGUAGCCGGGUCGGUAAGUCAGAUGUGAAAUCUACGGGCUCAACUCGUAAACUGCAUUUGAAACUGCUGAUCUUGAGUAUCGGAGAGGCAAUCGGAAUUCCUAGUGUAGCGGUGAAAUGCGUAGAUAUUAGGAGGAACACCAGUGGCGAAGGCGGAUUGCUGGACGACAACUGACGGUGAGGCGCGAAAGCGUGGGGAGCAAACAGGAUUAGAUACCCUGGUAGU
rnacentral:rRNA from 1 species